UCAAGCUUACUAUCGAAUCGUUCAGUUUUGUGUGCAAGCCAAACUGAAUAGAGAGACCCAUCAAACUUCAUAAUUUCGAAUUUAUAAACCAUGUGUUUUCUUCCGUUGAUUUUUAUCCUAGCCUUAUCCUUGUGGCUAUACCAGCUGAAUAAGAAAUAUUUCUUAUUGUGUCUAUGCAAACGAGUACGCUGUGUAGAUGCCAGUCAAUCGAAGGAUAAAAUCUGUUUCAUACCGGGUGUUGUGCCACAGCUGGGAAAUACUAUUGAUUUCCUAAAUUUUAACGCAGAAAUGCUAUUUCAAUAUCCCGAAAAUGUCUUCGCUAUUCGAAGGGCAGGAGUUAUAUUCUUUACAUUCUUAGAGCUCCAUUUUACUGCAUUGCUACAGCGGAAGAUUCUUCCGAAGUGUUCGAUAGCACCGAGUUAAUACAUAAAUCUGUAAUUUAUGUAUAUUUGAAACAAUUUUUAGGCGAUGGAUUGCUCUUAAGUUCGGAUACCAAAUGGUCUUCGAGGCGCAAAAUGCUGACCCCAGCUUUUCAUUUCAGUAUAUUACAGGCAUUCAAUGAAAUUUUCAA